rnacentral:rRNA from 1 species
CUACGGGAUGCAGCAGUGAGGAAUAUUGGUCAAUGGGCGCGAGCCUGAACCAGCCAUCCCGCGUGCAGGAUGACGGCCCUAUGGGUUGUAAACUGCUUUUCUAUGCCAAGAAACCCUGUUACGAGUAACAGGUUGCCGGUAGCAUAGGAAUAAGCAUCGGCUAACUCCGUGCCAGCAGCCGCGGUAAUACGGAGGAUGCAAGCGUUAUCCGGAUUCAUUGGGUUUAAAGGGUGCGCAGGUGGGCUUGUAAGUCAGUGGUGAAAUGCUGCCGCUUAACGGUAGAACUGCCAUUGAUACUGGAGUCUUGAGUAUGGUUGAGGUAGGCGGAAUGUGUUGUGUAGCGGUGAAAUGCAUAGAUAUGACACAGAACGCCAAUUGCGAAGGCAGCUUACUAAGCCAUUACUGACGCUGAGGCACGAAAGCGUGGGGAGCGAACAGGAUUAGAUACCCGCGUAGUC